rnacentral:rRNA from 1 species
AUUGAACGCUGGCGGCAUGCCUUACACAUGCAAGUCGAACGGCAGCACGGGUGCUUGCACCUGGUGGCGAGUGGCGAACGGGUGAGUAAUACAUCGGAACGUACCUUAUCGUGGGGGAUAACGCAGCGAAAGCUGUGCUAAUACCGCAUACGCCCUGAGGGGGAAAGCGGGGGAUCGCAAGACCUCGCGCGAUUAGAGCGGCCGAUGCCUGAUUAGCUAGUUGGUGGGGUAAAAGCCCACCAAGGCGACGAUCAGUAGCUGGUCUGAGAGGACGAUCAGCCACACGGGGACUGAGAAACGGCCCAGACUCCUACGGGAGGCAGCAGUGGGGAAUUUUGGACAAGGGUGGCAACCCUGAUCCAGCAAUGCCGCGUGAGUGAAGAAGGCCUUCGGGUUGUAAAGCUCUUUUGUCAGGGAAGAAACACCGGCUCUAACACAGUCCGGGAAUGACGGUACCUGAAGAAUAAGGACCGGCUAACUACGUGCCAGCCGCCGCCGUAA